GAGGGUAUAGCUCAAGCAGUAGAGCGCAUGCUCAGCAUGCACAAGGUCCUGGGUUCAAUCCCCAGUACCCCCU
rnacentral:tRNA from 1 species